rnacentral:rRNA from 1 species
GGGGGGGGGGGGGGGGGGGGGUGAGGGAGGGGGGGCGGGCGGACAGACGGGGGGGGUGCUCCGCGGAGGGUGGCGGCGGGGGGGUGAGUGGCACGUGGAGAACCUACGUAUAAGACUGGGAGCACUUCGGUAACCCGGCGCUAAUACCGGCUAAUAAAGUGAACCGCAUUGUUCAAUCGUGGACGACGGUUUUGCUGUCACUUAUAGAUGGAGCCCCGCCUCAUUAGCUAGUUGGUACGGUAACGGCGUACCAAGUCGACGAUUCGUAGCCGACCUGAGAGGGUGAUCGGCCACACUGGACCUGAGACACGGUCCAGACGCCUACGGGAGGCAGCAGUAGGGAAUCUUCCGCAAUGGGCGAAAGCCUGACGGAGCAACGCCGCGUGAGUGAUGAAGGUCUUCGGAUCGUAAAACUCUGUUAUUAGUGAAGAACAAAUGUGUAAGUAACUAUGCACGUCUUGACGGUACCUAAUCAGAAAGCCACGGCUAACUACGUG